CCGCGAAACGCCCGCGCGAGCGGGUGUCUGCCCGGCGUGGUGGCCGGGUACUGAUGAGCAGCCAGAG
rnacentral:hammerhead_ribozyme from 2 species